GCCCUCCUGGCGCAAUUGGUUAGCGCAACGGACUUUUAAUCCGUGGGUUCUGGGUUCGAGUCCCAGGGGGGGCA
rnacentral:tRNA from 1 species